CGCGUGAGGGAUGACGGCCUUCGGGUUGUAAACCUCUUUCAGUAGGGAAGAAGCGAAAGUGACGGUACCUGCAGAAGAAGCGCCGGCUAACUACGUGCCAGCAGCCGCGGUAAUACGUAGGGCGCAAGCGUUAUCCGGAAUUAUUGGGCGUAAAGAGCUCGUAGGCGGUUUGUCGCGUCUGCUGUGAAAGACCGGGGCUCAACUCCGGUUCUGCAGUGGGUACGGGCAGACUAGAGUGCAGUAGGGGAGACUGGAAUUCCUGGUGUAGCGGUGAAAUGCGCAGAUAUCAGGAGGAACACCGAUGGCGAAGGCAGGUCUCUGGGCUGUAACUGACGCUGAGGAGCGAAAGCAUGGGGAGCGAACAGGAUUAGAUACCCUGGUAGUCCAUGCCGUAAACGUUGGGCACUAGGUGUGGGGGACAUUCCACGUUUUCCGCGCCGUAGCUAACGCAUUAAGUGCCCCGCCUGGGGAGUACGGCCGCAAGGCUAAAACUCAAAGGAAUUGACGGGGGCCCGCACAAGCGGCGGAGCAUGCGGAUUAAUUCGAUGCAACGCGAAGAACCUUACCAAGGCUUGACAUGAACCGGAAAGACCUGGAAACAGGUGCCCCGCUUGCGGUCGGUUUACAGGUGGUGCAUGGUUGUCGUCAGCUCGUGUCGUGAGAU
rnacentral:rRNA from 1 species